UUUUAUUGCAACUGAAAAGCACAAUAGUGACAUCUAUAAAAUACAAACACCAAAGUCUGAUUGGAAAUUUUAAUUUAUGUACUUUGUAAAUUGACAUGAAAUCAUGAAGGUUUCAUUAGUUUUGUUUUUGUGACGAUGCUCCAGAUC